UACGGAGGGGGCUAGCGUUGUUCGGAAUUACUGGGCGUAAAGCGCACGUAGGCGGAUUGGAAAGUCAGAGGUGAAAUCCCAGGGCUCAACCUUGGAACUGCCUUUGAAACUCCCAGUCUUGAGUUCGAGAGAGGUGAGUGGAAUUCCGAGUGUAGAGGUGAAAAUUCGUAGAUAUUCGGAGGAACACCAGUGGCGAAGGCGGCUCACUGGCUCGAUACUGACGCUGAGGUGCGAAAGCGUGGGGAGCAAACAGG
rnacentral:rRNA from 1 species